rnacentral:miRNA from 1 species
CUGUUGCUUGUGGAUCGUUGUU